AUUCAGCUGAUGAGUCCCAAAUAGGACGAAACGCGCGUCUAGGAAU
rfam:Schistosoma mansoni strain Puerto Rico chromosome W, complete genome